UAAAGAUGGCUUGUUAAGGAAGAUUUGGACUCUGCUAAGGGGACUGUGCCUUAUUGUUUCUGUCAUAAUAAUAUAAUACUUUCUAACAUUCAUUUUAAUGGAUCAAUGCAUGUAAAUGAGUUGUUCCAUAAAAAAAGAUGGUUAUUUUUGUAACAAUGGACAUUUCAGUAACAUCUCAUCUCUCACAGCUUUUAUUCUACAAAACAUUAUACACUAGACUAUUGAAAUGUCUGUAUAAAGAUAAUAAUGAGUAAAGCUAUUGCCAGCAAAUAAGGCAACAAGAUUCUAGUUUUUUUCUUGUGCUUGAGAAAUCGUCAUUUCAGCCACAUUUGAGUGCCAGGGAGUGAAAACAUCAUUGGCCUAAGGAGCAGUAAACUAGAAAAGGGUCAUUUACUGUAUGUGCAGCUGAAAUAUAUAAACUCAUUUUCUGAAUAGCAUUACUGAAGAACAAUCAUGACAAUAGUUCUUUUCCAUUCCUUUUCUAUAUAGUAAUUUCUUAAUCCAUUUUGUAAAUGGGUCUCAGCUACCACAGAUUCAGAGAAAUUGUAUUUUAGCCGACAUUCGUCCUCAUGCUGAGGAAAUUAUGAUGUGUUGAAGUCCAAAUAUAGCAUUACAUUUCUUCUUGUAGUGGAAUGCAAGCUAAAUGUUUUUAUUAAAAAAAAAAAAAAAAAAAAAAAAAGCGUAUAGUUCUAUAUGAUAACUCUAUUUAUAUUGUAUGUAUUAGAAGUUUUUCAUAUAACUUCCCAAAGGAAAAAUACAUUUGCUGAUUCUCAUUCCAGGAAGUUAUUUACUGGGGGGGUCAGGAAGCUUAUACAAACAAAGUUUUCUGACUGUUUCAUUCCUUUUUAGCAGGCCCAUAUUACUUCUUUCAACUAUGUUCCACACUGAGUCUUCCCUUUCAGCUAACAGGGUGCAAAUCAAGGGUAUUGUCUUGCCUGAAAGUGAAAGAACAGAGAGGAAUGGGCCCCAAAGGCAUUCAAGCAUAGCUCUCUUGGAGCGUGGUGGCAAUAUAGAUAAUAGAAUGCAUGAAUUGAUUGGAGAAACAAAAAGAGUUCUUCAGGACUAG
rnacentral:lncRNA from 1 species